GCCCUCUACUCGGUUUUGCAUAUGUUGUUGAGAGAGUAGUCCAGAUCUCUGUCGCAGUCGAAGCCGUUGACAGGAUUGGUUGGAUCGUGAUGGUGAUCGCGCCAAGAAGACCGCUGUAUAUAAGGCGAUCUUGUCUCUUCCACAUAGUGUAUUCAGGGUUGGGGACAAUUCCGACAUCAGUGGUGAGCGUUGGUGAGGGUACGACGGUGGAGCCGUCGAUGUAGCCUGCCAGACCGUAGCCGUCGAGAAGAGCGUGGACCUGUCUACUCCACAUCAGGAAGUUGGAUCCAGUGAGCUUUGUUACAUUUGUCAUAUUGACAUUGAGAAGAGUUGGUGUAGCCGAGACGGUGAUGGUCUCGCUGGCUGAAGCAUGAGAGUUUGUUGUGUCAGACAUGGUUAGAGGCGACGUAGAAGAAAAAAUUUGAAAGGAGAAGAGGCGGCUAGGUUAAUGAUGAUGGCUCUGAUACCAUAUAGAGAAUAGGCUGAAUAGCUUUAUUAUCAAGUAUACGGAAGGUAUUUAUACAAGAUACACGUAGGGUAUUAACACUAAUGAAUAUUUACAUAGAAGUCCUUAGAGUUCUAUAUACUUCCUUAACAUUGACCGCCUUAUUCAUUUUAUCUGCAUAUGAGUUCAUCACUUAACUUUGUUACUUGUCUUCCACUUCAAUGUUGAGCUUUUAAUUUAUACUUAAUUGGGGCUUAUUUUGGUGUAACUUUACCGGGGCUCUAAGUCGGAAUAUAUAUCCCAAUAGUCAUAUCUUGAAAUGUUAAAUUGGCCAGGGAAGCCCAAUUUUAUAGUGUCAAGCUAUGGUUUAUACCUGAUUUAGGCCUGAUCUUAAAUCGUGCAUAGGGAUGUUAAACGGGUCGAGGACUUGUGGACCAUCGCCUAACCGAGUCUACUAUGGGAGGAUGACCAUCUCCGAUAGUUUACUCUAUUUUUUUUCUCUAAAAUAGAAUAACUAUAUAAUAGAGUUGGAUGUUGCUCCAAUAGUACUCUAUUUUAGAGUGAAAAAUUGAGUGAUGAACAAAAAAAACAAGCUACUCUAUAGAGUGGAAAAUAGAGUAUCAUUAGAGCAUUUUUACUCUAAACUCUAUUUUUGAAUGGAAAAUAGAGUUGGGUUGGAGAUGCACUUAGAUGUAAGGUCUAUUUAGACUGAAUUACGAAUUUGUUUCAAAUAUUUUCAUUUAGAUUAAACUUUGGUACGACUUUACGACGAAAAACUAUGUGAAAAAAGAAGAAGAAGAAAACUGAAUGGCAUGGGCCAUUUUCCAGCCCGCCCUUGUUGUGUUUCAAACUGUGUUCUAAAAUCUACAACAAUAAAGUUGACUGGAGUCUCUCUUCAUCCCUCCACAUCAACACUCCUACCUUCAUUUUGCGACACGUGGCAGAUAAUUUGAGUGUUUUUUUAUUAUGUUUCAAAAGUAUUAAAGCGCUGAAAUGCAAUGGGUUUCUGCUAAAUCAUUGGGCCCUCAAUAGUCUCAUCUAUCUGGCCCGACUAGUGUUUAAGGUUAGAUGUACGCUUUUAUCCAAUGUGACGCCGUAAUCCUAUCGUCAGCCAUCUUCUCCGAUGAGAUUUCCUUUAACGUUUCUCUCUUCUUAAACUCCAGCUUUAAUUUAAUUAUUAAACCCCACCCCACCUCUCCUCCCACUCCGUCUCAUUUACUCAGAUUCACGAACGGCGUCUGUAACAGCUACAAACUCGACCUAUAAAUUAGUAUUUUGGAAGCAAUGGAGACCUACACUGUUCAGACAUUUGAUAGCCUAAACCAUCUUAAGCAUGCAUCGCCUUCAAAUAUGUAGGCUUCAUACGUUCUUCUCGGCAACCUGAAAGGACGUCUGUCUGUUGAGGUGGUCUGAGGUUCUCGAUGAGCAGGAACCAUCAACUCAAGCCGCGUCGAUACGUUCCGACUCUCUGACUCUCCUGUCUCCAUCCGUUUCACUGACGGAACGUCCUUAGAAGCAAAAACAUACACGAAAAAGCAUCUCCCACUGAGAUUUACCGAUUCUGCAGUUGUUGUUGGCAAAUAACAACAAACAACUACCAGAUAUUGUUCCCAUAAGCUUCAUUCGACUUUGUUGGUGAACUCAGUGUAAUCAAGAGCAAUCAAUGACAGAAUUGACGGUCCCCAGCACGUAAUGGUGGCUCUCCGCAUAGAAGGGGGUGUCUAAUGUUUGUAUCAUUGUGUUUGACAAUCGAGCUGUCACCUUUUAAGCUAAGUUUGACAAGAACGGCUUUGAGCCAAAGGUUAUUCUCUUUACAAGCACCCCAAAGUUGUUGGAUGUAAGUUAAUUGUUUUCCCUUAAAAAUCAUGUAUUAAGACAGGGAUAAGCUUCUACUUUUGAUGAAAUAUAUGUGUUGUUGUUCUUAUUCAAUGUAGUUUAACGAAGUUCUGAAUGUUGGAAAUGAUCUUGACAGCCAGUUUCAUAUAUGGAACUUGAUAGGAGCAUUCGCGAAAUAGCUGCCACCUUGGAUCAGGUUAAGUUUUUUGCUUUUAAUCUCUUUCCUUGAACCCUUCUUCUCCUGUUGAAAAUUGUAUAUGAAUGUGGUUUUACAACAGCACUCAACUUCCUUCUCAAUUCGUUGUCCUUAAAGCUUGAUCCACAUGAUAAACUAUCUCAGGCUUCAGCACUAUCUUCCCAAACUGAUGACCUUGAGAAGCUUUAGCUUUAGCAUAAAAAGGAUAUCUCGCUUUCCUGAUAAAAAUCUGUUCGUACUGUGUGGCAUAGGCUGAAGAAGCUGCACGCGAGUCAAAGUGUACGAUACAAGAUUGGUAUGCAGAGAUGCGAGGAAGAAAUGAGGAACGCGAGUCAGUGAUGGUCAAAAGUUUGCUGAAGAGGCAAUGAAGCAGAACAACUGUUUCCUCCUUCUGAGAUUUCUUGCUUUGAAGCUCUACCUUAAUACCUCUUAGUAAGUUCGUUAUCUAAUUAACUUCUGAAUCAGAGUCCAUAUGACUUGAUUUGGAGCUAUAUAAGAUUUUAAUUGAUUAAUUGUAUAGAUUGUUGAAGAUUUCUUUUUAUUAGAUUCUUCCUUAGUUCUUAUUGAAAUUUGACCCGUUACAAAAGUCAAAAUAAUAGUAAAAUGGUACAUUUUGCAUACA